UGAAGCUUGCUGUGUGUAAGCUGAACAAACUCUGCCGUCAUCAUCAUAUUCAAGGCGGUGUGUUGUGUGGAGGACUGCUGCCCUGAGACCGCUGGGUUUAUUCUGGAAUAUUGUCACUUCCAAAGCCCAUUACAAGCCUGCAAUGGGCUCUAUGAACUGUCCAGAGCAAAAUCAGUCUGUCCUGAUGGCACUACCUGCUACUAUGGCUGCUGCUCUCAACCUGGUGGGGCAAGUCUUAAGAGUUGCAGACAGGGGAGCAAAAGGAGUUCCUGGACCCUUAAAGGGUUAAGGCCAUAAUGGGCCACCUAGAAGAGAUUCAGGCACUCCCUCAAGAUUGCUGGGCCAUGCAAUUAAUGCCAAACUUGCAGAACUGUGAUGUCAGUACAAAAACAAAAAUGGCCAUUUUUAAAUAAAUUCAACAAAAGAAAACAGAAGAGUUGUGUGUUUCUUCCUCUUUAUAAUGAUACUAUGGUUAAUUUUAAGUAAAUACUAUAGUGAAAACAAUUGUAAAUGCAGAAAACAUGAAACCAUAGUAGAAUAUGAACUAUAUUUGAACAAUAUAUCAGAA